GCUUGGUCUGCUAGCUGGUUGUCCUUAGCAGCAACUGCUGGUACAUCUUUAGAAGCUUCUAAUGCAGUUUCUAAGUUGUCAAAGAGUUGCUUUAGCUCUCCAAACUGAUGUAACAAUGUUGUUAUAAACUUUUCCAGCCUUUCCAUUUGAACUGCAAGCAAUUUCAUCUCUAAUUUCUGCUUCUCUUUUAAUUCCUUCAAUUUCUUCUUCAUUUUUCUUUCAUACUUCUUCUGCCUUGUAUCAAAAUUGUCCAACUUUGCUUCCAUAAAUUUCAAAAUUGUCAAUAACUCAUCAAAAUUCUAUUGUGAAACUGCAAGUUUAGUUGGCUAUAAUUUCUCAUCUAGCUUUGCAAUUUCGGCUUCAAUGGACUUAAAAGCAAACAAGAGUGUAGCGAUAGAAGUGGGCUGCUGAGAUGGACUAGCAGAUUGAGGUUCAGUUUGUGUGUCAAAAGGCUGAAAAGGAUCAUCCUCUGGCCUAGGGUCGCUGGUUUGGUCCAUUAGCACAAAAAUAGACCAUUUCUUCUUUAUAAUACUCAUGCUAAAUAGAAUAGCCCUGUCUAGGUAAGCUUUUCCUAAAAUAGGCUUCAAUUUAUGCUCUGCUAGUGAAAAAUCAAAAGCCUUAGCUAUCGCAGUGAUCAAACCCCCAAAGACUAUACUACCAAUCCUCAUUUUAG
rnacentral:misc_RNA from 1 species